UGGUUCGCGCCCGUGUCGGGGCGAGGGGACGGUCUAAAGUUAUACUGUUACAUUGAUGCUGUUGACCCGGAUCACUGGUUGCUGCGGAAAAGGAGGAGGUUGAAAGGGGGGUGAGUGUAACGGAUGUGAAAUGGCUAGCUAGUUAGCGGGUACGCGCUAAUAGCGUUUCAAUCAGUUACGUCACUUGCUCUGAAACCUAGAAGUAGUGUUUCCCCUUGCUCUGCAAGGGCCGCGGCUUUUGUGGAGCGAUGGGUAAUGACGCUUCGUGGGUGUCAGUUGUUGAUGUGUGCAGAGGGUCCCUGGUUUGCUCCCGGGUCAGGGCGAGGGGACGGUCUUAAAGUUAUACUGUUACAUUUGAGCAAUAGGUAAUGUUUGCUUGGGUGAUUUUGAAUGUUGACAAAAGAGACAGACAAUUUGUUAAACAAAACACCUUUUAAAAUGCAAGCUGGAAAUAAAUCUGCCAAAAUAAGGCCAAAAAAACUGGAGAAAAAUAUUUCUUAAGAAAUACUUGCUUUGGAAUGGGUGUGUACGGGGGCAUGGAGGGGUGACAGACGAGAUGUCAAACACCUGAUGUUGCAAAACUGUUUGGGGUCUGAUUAGAAGGGGUGCGGCACAUCAUUAGAUCAGAGGCAAACAGGACAAGACCCAGAGCAUGAUAGAUAAGGGGGCCACAGCUCUGAUGUCAUCACCAUAUGCAAAUUAACUGGUGGCUUUAAAGGAGACCUUUGCGAGCUGUCAUGAGUCUGUGAACAAUGUGGUGGUGUUGGAGACGUGCUGGCUGUUGUAAACCAGAGCAGCGUGGUAAUAGAAAACAACCAACGCCCUUAAUUAACACUUUUUUUCUUCAAGAGAGAGGACAACGCAGACAGACCAGGCAUGGAGGUUUAUUCAUUUAGGCAAUGUCAUCAUGGGAUAUUGUUCGUUAGUCUUGUACCCUGGACAGGAUAUCAUCAUAUACUGUAAGUUCGUUAUGGUGACACUACAGUAUAGAUGAUGUACUAUCCAGGGUCUCAUUCCCCCUCCGGAUACUAUCAGCACACACACACAAGCUGUUGACGGUUGGAAGCUAGAGGGUGGCAAUCUAACCGUUACCAUUACUGAGUUUUAGCAAUGGUAAGGGUUCUAUUGACGCCUCUCAAUGUCAUAGCUACAAUAGUACACACAUGGACGGAUGCUGCUGGCGGUUGGAAGCUAGAGGGUGGCGCUCAAACCGUUACCAUUACUGAGUUUUAGUAAUGGUAAGGGUUCUAAUGCUGCUUCCCAAUGUCACUGGAGUUGCAUUAAAGGAAACUAAAAACUGGUGGACUGGUCUCGUCUUCCUUGCAAGAAGUCACAUUUGAUUACAACACCUUAGUGAUACCAAGAGCCAAAGUUGUGUUUAAGAGCUGAUUUUGAUAUUGUAAGAUAUUUGUUGACUUGUGAAAUAAUGUUUCAAAUUAAAAACCAAAGAAUGACUA